GAACACGGUAGUUAAGCUUCUCUGCGCCAAUGGUAGUAGGGGGUUUCCCCCUGUGAGAGUAGGUCGCUGCCGGGC
rnacentral:rRNA from 1 species